CAUGCAGUCGAACGGUAGAGGGGGCAACCCCUUGAGAGUGGCGAACGGGUGAGUAAUGUAUCGGAACGUGCCCAGUCGUGGGGGAUAACGUAGUGAAAAUUACGCUAAUACCGCAUACGAUCUAUGGAUGAAAGCGGGGGAUCGCAAGACCUCGCGCGAUUGGAGCGGCCGAUAUCAGAUUAGGUAGUUGGUGGGGUAAAGGCUCACCAAGCCAACGAUCUGUAGCUGGUCUGAGAGGACGACCAGCCACACUGGAACUGAGACACGGUCCAGACUCCUACGGGAGGCAGCAGUGGGGAAUUUUGGACAAUGGACGCAAGUCUGAUCCAGCCAUUCCGCGUGCAGGACGAAGGCCUUCGGGUUGUAAACUGCUUUUGUACGGAACGAAAAAGCUCUUAUUAAUACUAGGAGUCCAUGACGGUACCGUAAGAAUAAGCACCGGCUAACUACGUGCCAGCAGCCGCGGUAAUACGUAGGGUGCAAGCGUUAAUCGGAAUUACUGGGCGUAAAGCGUGCGCAGGCGGUUAUAUAAGACAGAUGUGAAAUCCCCGAGCUUAACUUGGGAACUGCAUUUGUGACUGUAUAGCUAGAGUACGGCAGAGGGGGAUGGAAUUCCGCGUGGUAGCAGUUGAAAUGCGUAAGAUUAUGCCGGAAGGAACCACCGAUGGCGAAGGGCAAUCCCCUGGGGCCUGGUACUGACCGCCUCCAUGCAACGAAAAGCGGUGGGGGGAGCAAACAGGAUUAAAAUACCCUGGUUAGUCCACGCCCUAAACGAUGUUCAAACUGGGUUGGUUGGGUCUUUCACUGACUCAGUAACGAAGCUAACGCCGUGAAGUUGACCGCCUGGGGGAGUACCGGCCCGCAAGGUUGAAACUCAAAGGAAUUGGACGGGGACCCGCACAGCGGUGGAUGNUGGUGNNUUAAUUCGAUG
rnacentral:rRNA from 1 species